UGAGUAACGCGUGAGCAACCUGCCUUUCAGUGGGGGACAACAGUUGGAAACGACUGCUAAUACCGCAUAACACGGCGAGAUCGCAUGGUCUUGCUGUCAAAGAUUUAUCGCUGAAAGAUGGGCUCGCGUAUGAUUAGAUAGUUGGUGAGGUAACGGCUCACCAAGUCAACGAUCAUUAGCCGGACUGAGAGGUCGAACGGCCACAUUGGGACUGAGAUACGGCCCAGACUCCUACGGGAGGCAGCAGUGAGGAAUAUUGGGCAAUGGGCGAAAGCCUGACCCAGCAACGCCGCGUGAAGGAUGAAGGUUUUCGGAUUGUAAACUUCUUUUGUCAAGGACGAUAAUGACGGUACUUGACGAAUAAGCCACGGCUAACUACGUGCCAGCAGCCGCGGUAAUACGUAGGUGGCAAGCGUUGUCCGGAUUUACCGGGUGUAAAGGGCGAGUAGGCGGGUCUACAAGUCAGAUGUGAA
rnacentral:rRNA from 1 species